CAUGCCGUAAACGAUGAAUGCUAAGUGUUGGAGGGUUUCCGCCCUUCAGUGCUGCAGCUAACGCAUUAAGCAUUCCGCCUGGGGAGUACGACCGCAAGGUUGAAACUCAAAGGAAUUGACGGGGGCCCGCACAAGCGGUGGAGCAUGUGGUUUAAUUCGAAGCUACGCGAAGAACCUUACCAGGUCUUGACAUCUUCUGCCAACCUAAGAGAUUAGGCGUUCCCUUCGGGGACAGAAUGACAGGUGG
rnacentral:rRNA from 1 species